CCCUAUGGCCCCCUGCUACCAAAACCUUGCCAUGUAAACCCACUACAUGAGGACAAGGCUCUAGUGCUUCCUCCUAGGAGACAACUUUCUGCACAGCAAUUGAACCUACUGGCAGCUGUUCUUCUGUGAUCUUCUGAGGAUCUUCCUAUUGAAAGGUGAAAUGAGGGAGGUAUUGAAUAAUGCAUGGAGCUGAAGCCUCUACAUCAUGGCCAUACUUUCUGAUGCAUUUUUACUGCUACUGCAACCUUCAGGGAUUUAUCCUGUUCCAAGUUUGAACAGCAAGUAUAUGCCAAAACAAGUAAGCAAGCAGUAUUUUCCAACUCAGCUCUGCUAUCAGCUUUAUGAAAGUGCAAUUAUUUUUUUGAUCUAGUGUAUGCUGAAUUUGUCUACUUGGGCUGUGAAAGACUUCCUCACUCCUAUAUAGGAGCUAGAAGCAGGCACUGAGACCAUCAGUGGUGACAAGGUGGGUGCCUAUGCGGUAAGCAACAGUGCGUUUAUAUCUUGGACUCAGCUGAAUGAACACGCUAAACGACAUUCUUCACUGCUGUAAAUGCAAUGCAGUUCCCACUGAUGCUGAAGGAAACCACACCACCUGGGGACCCAAGGUCAGAAUUAUCUGAAAUCCUCUAGGGCACAAAAUUAGGAUGUGACCCAGCUCUUCCGUUAUGAUAUGAGAAUAAUUCAGGAAGUUUUCACUGUGAAACGUUGGACUUGGAAAUCUUAACAUUCUUUUUAUUGUGCUUGUGUGCAAGUUUGAAAAAUGACCACUUUUUAUUUUAGGGGAAAAGCAUUGCUGGGGGUGGAGUAUGCAUUAUAUCAAGUCCAGCUCUAAUCCUAGGUUUGAAAUAAUAUUGGGGUAAGAUUUGUGUGUAAUUAUAUUCAAAGUUAAUACACUAUUCCAUCAAGUUUACUCUGGCUUAGCUGAGAAAUCUAGGCCUCAGUCUACUAAUGCUGAUGUAAACUAGAAUAGCUCCACUGAUUUACACCUAAUAAGAACCUGGUUCUGUAUCUCAUUGUUGACUUUGCUGAGGUUUCUUUCCCCCUCCCAAAAGACAAAAUUCUUGUUUGUUUGGAGGGUUUUCUUUAACCUCUUGGCUGAGUGAUACAUUUCUGUUUAUCAGCCACCUGCAUCCCCUCAAUGCAUUCUGAGGCAAAAAUCAAGGAAUACGAAAGUCCAAUUUUAAAUUCAAUCAGUUCCCAAGUUGUUUGAUGCAAUGGUUUCCAUUUCAGCAGCUGCUUCUGUC
rnacentral:lncRNA from 1 species